CCGUCACUUUACGUUGAUUAGAAAGACCUAAACCAAUGAACCUUGAUUUUAGAGAGACGUAAGACAUGAUAAAAAUUGAGUUUUAGGUCCUCUAAAAUCAUGGUUCUUUGGUUUAGGUCCCUCUAAAAUCAUGGUUCCUUGG
rnacentral:pre_miRNA from 1 species